UGUACCUUCGAUUUUGGGUUUAGCUCUUGUUGUGGGGUUUGUACGAGUGUUGAUGGACGGCGAAAGGUGGCGUCUUUCCGUUGCUUCGUGAUGCCUCUUCUAAGCUUUCUUUUCAUUCUAAUGCCUGAAAAACUAAAACCCUAAUCAGCUUGCUAUGAGAGGGUUCGUGGUAUUUUGGGUUUUUUUGAGUAAGUUUAGGCCUUAUUCAUUGUCGAAAGUAUCCAAAUUUUCUGUUAUUUCUUUCUGUUUUGAGAAAAGUUUCGAUCUUUACCUUUUGUUUCGAUGAAAGUUUUGAUUUUUUGAUUUUGAUUCGAGAAUAAUUUCGAUCUUUGGACUUGUUAUUCGGAUGAAGUAUUGGAUUUUGCGAGGAACUAAUGCCUAAUGUUUGGAUUUGAGAGAUUUUAGGGUCUUAGGUUUUUGUGGAAGUAUCCCACGUUGUGCUCCGGGCUUUUCUUGAGAUCUUGCGUGAGAUGGAAACCUCCAUGCUAGAUUUAAUCGCCGUUGCGUGUUCCAAUUCUGUUCAUGAUUUCCAACUACUGAUCUGGCUCAACAUAAUAACUAGAUUGCAAUUCUUUUGAUUGUAUUUUCUUCCUUUUGCCUUUCCGCACUUUAGGUCUUUUGGUAAUUUUGCCGCCCAAAGAGCCUAGUCAUGAAGGCGUUAGGCAUUUGGCGAAGACGGCAGGGAUAACGUGGGAUUUACUCUUCUUCGAUGGUUUUGCCUCUCAAAUCUCUCAUCACAACUAUAUGUGUACCAACAAGUGUGAAAUUUUGGUAAUUUUUAAAAUCAAAAAUCACACUUUUAGCGCACAAAGUGAUCAAAAUUUAGUUUUUUUAGUGGUUUUCUAUUUGCUGUCUUUGGUUUCGUCAUUACUAAUGAUACCUUAUCCUUUUAGGCUACAAGGGCAAAACAAAAAGAAAUCAGUUUGGGUGGUUUUGUUUUAAGUUUUGGUUGAUGUAUUGCUACUCGAAACACUCUUUUGUUGGCGAUGAUUAUAACUUACCCGCGCUUCUGAUGAUUAUACAUGAAGCAUAAGUGAGAUGCUUUGGCUGUGAUGAGAAUCUAUACAGCUUCAAAAAUGCCAGUUCUGCUUCAGAAAAUUCAUGAUAGAGGAAGCUGAUAGAAAGCUGAGCCUUUCUAUAUUUAAAAGUUGUCGGUUAUUUCUUGUACAACUUCUUGAUUUUUCUCUUGUUUUAACAGCCUCUCAUAACUAAAAUGGCUUUUUUCUUUCUGCCUGCGAUGAUAUCUCCAAGUUUAUGACUUGUAGAUAUCUUCAAGUCCCUGUUUUGCAGGGGGAAGCUGCUUGGAGCUGCUACAUUCAAAUGACACCAAAGGACUUUUCUGAGUCAUUAGCUCUUUAUUGAUCAUGAUGGUACCUGAUAUGUAUGAGAUAUAGCCAAUUGACAAAUGGAUUCUAGCUGUUUCUAAGUUCAUGUCUCUUUUAUCUGAUUAACAUAUGUUUUUAUAAAAGUUUUAGUGUUUGCUUAACAGUCAUUGUAUUACAGAAGUAGAAUUUUUGUACAUGAAGUCUGAUUCUUGAUUUCCAAGCUUUAUGUGUGAAAGACAAUUUUUAUCCUUCCCAUGUCAAAUCCCUGCUUUUUCUUGUUGACACACAGUAAUGCAAGGUAAUAACGGUAAUUCUUGAAAAAAAAAAAGCACACUCUUGUUAUUUUAUUUAGAUAAUUAUUCUUAUGUUGAAUUCUUUUGCCACUGCCAGUGAUGAUUUGUCUGCAAAAUGGAUGUGUUGUGGAACCAAGUCCCUGCUUGCAGGGAGAACCUACUUGGGAAAGCAGCACUUUACAUGACAUCCUCAGAUACUUCUGAGGCGCUAAGACUUGUGUAUUUACUCUUUGAAUCCUAUUUGAAUCGACUUUCUCUGUUGAAAAUAAAAGUAUAAAGUAGAUGUUACCUGUGCCCAUCUUUUGUAUAACAUGGUGUUCGUCUGUCUCUUGAGUAUGGAAGAUGAAUAUACUUUGAACAGAAGAAGGCAUGCCUGUCCACCCUUCUCACAGAAGUCAACUUUUGAGGCCCACUGAUGAACUGAAUCUCUACCAAUUUGUUUAGCCUUAAGCAGUAUUCAGUGUGGUAUGCAUACAAAUAUACAAUGGAUGUCAGCUCAAACAAAUGAUUUUUCAGAAGACAUAAAAGAAAGUAUUCUUUCCAAUCCCAAAUUAUGAGUCAGGAUCCUCUCUAGGUUGCAGUUGAAUUCUAUUGUAUUGUGAAAUUUAGCUUGUUCAAAUUCGAGUGUCCUUUCAGUUAUCUUUCCUCUUAGAUUUGUGGCAUUCUAGGUUACUUUUUUCCAUUAUCUAACAAGAUUGGGGAAGGUAUGUCAGUGAGGAACAUGUUCAAGUUAUUUUGUAGCUUCUUGUGGUAUUAUAGUGGUAUUAUAGCUUCAUUUGCUUGCAACAAUAUAAUCCAAGUGUGCUAAUUCAAAUGUUUUGCAAGGAAUAAUUGCUGUGUGUACCAGGUUCGAUCCCAUCCUGUCAGUGUUAGAGACACUAAACAUGAUGUUGAUGCUUCGGUUGUUGGCAUGGUGAUAGCUUGGGAUAUAAUUUCAGUUCCAUCUUAUCCUAUGUGUCUUCAAAUGUUUGGGACAUGGCCGGAAGGUCUCUAUAGUUUGUAUAGAUUGUUACCCUUGAGGUAUAUUGUAUGUAGAUGAUUUCUUUGUGGAAUUUGAAGGUAAUUUUCUCAUUCA